AGCCUCCGCGUUUACACCUGUCUGCUGCCCAGCUGGGCUUCCCCACGGCGGCGUUAUCUAGUGACCUUCUCCUCCCUGCUCACUCUAAGGGAAAGAUUUGCGGUCCCCCCCCCCCACCUCUUUUUCUUGAGCAAAUAUUUCCAUCCACAAUAGCCUCCACUAACUAGUUCAUCCAGGGUCUGGGUCACCUGUCUCCUAUACAUCACCGUCCACCCAUGCGACUUCCUUAACACCAUGUGGUAGGAAUUUACGUUUUACAGGAAAGAAUUCAACUUGGGGAAGUUAACUGAAGAAUGCACACGCACACACACACACCAGUAUUGGACUGUAAUAAUGUAAAUAAUAGAAAUCGUAGUUAAUAUUUCAUGAACCUUCACUCUGUGCCAUAUACCAUAUUUUAUACUAGGGCUUUACAGGCAUAAUCUCAUUUAUUUCUCUUACUAGCAAUAAUAAUCUAUUGAUUAUCAUUACUUCUAUUUUUUAGAUGAGGCAAUGCAGGUUUGGAGAUGUUGGGUAGCUUGCUCCAGAGACACACAAACAGAGGAAGAGCCAUGCUCUGAAUCCGGGUCUGUCUGGUUUUAAUUUCUACUAUCUUUGCCUCUAUAUGAUAAACAAAUAAGCUUGAAAUAAGGCAUAUAUCAAAAACACAAUACCAACUACGAAGUAGUAGCUUUAAAGGAUUACACUGUGGCGGGCACUACCCUUCACAACCUUGAACUUCAACUCAUCAAUGCCGGUGUGAGAAAUGUACUGCUGGCCCAGUUCACAUUAAUACCUGCUGGAGGCCUGGGCACACCUUGUUGGGAGUACCUCCAGAGAGCCAAAGGUUUGGGAGACCCAUCACCAACAUCCUUUGAUGUCUCCCCUAUAUCCAGGAAGCCUCAUGAGCACAUCACUGUUGCUACAGAACAAGAGAGGGGUGACGGCGGAAGAUUCUUGAACCUCCACAGCCACACAUGGUGGCUAUUUUCUCCUGGCUUCCCCCUCCCACAGCAGCAUAGCAGGAAGAGAAGCAUCACAUUAUCUUGCAGCAGAAACAUGGCAAGACAGAAUUUAAUUAUAUGUGGCUGCAAGUUAGCCACAACAUUGGAUGAGGUCAUCAGUUCUUACAGAAAAUGACCAAGGCUUCUUGAAAGAGCGAGACAUCGAGAAGGCGAUUAGGAGCUCCAAGUAUGUGAACACAUUCGUCAGCCAAUGGCCUCCACACUUGGACUCCUCCAGAUUUCACUGUGUGGACCUGUUUUCUCUGGGGAAGAAUCCCCAAACCCUCACCCUUGUGCAGCUGCUGGCACUGUGUGAGCAGAGCAUCAUCUCUCUAAAAUAAAUAAAUCUUUUUUUAUUUAUUUUUUAAUAAU
rnacentral:lncRNA from 12 species